GUUUUUUAGAUAGUUCAACGCACAACAACAACACACACCGGAUGUCUGAAAAGCAAAAGACGUGGUGCUCCAGAAAGGAGAAAGAAAACAAAGACUGGCACGUGAUCAAGAAAAAGAGAACCAACCAUCCGCUAGGCGUGUGUGCAUGUAUACACACACACACACACUACACACACAACACAACCCAAAAGUAUUAUACUUGGAAUGAGGGGAGAAGGUAGUACAUUUCGCUGGCUAUACACACACACAACAACCACUUUACCAUUCGCUAGAGGAUUUUCGGCCCUGCCAGUAAUUCUUAUUUAUUUUUAGUUUUUUAGUUUUUUAACUUUCUCUCUCUCGCAUUUUGUUGGGAAACCGUAAAUUGUGUGUUUUGUUUUCGUCGAGAAUAACACCUUACGAUGACUGAUGAUUGCCAAUGAAAUUCUCGAAUAAUUUUUUGCAUAAUUAAAUUUUUUAAUGCGGAGAUAUUCAGAUGAACUGCUUUCACUGCACUGAUUCGAGAAAAUAAGUUGUAAGUGUUACAAACUGACUAAACUGUGUCAAAAAUU